GAUGUCAUAGGUGAAUUAGGACUGCUGGAAAUUAAAAUUAAUUAAAAAAAAACGUUUUUUGCCCUAUUGUCUAGUAAUAUCUCACAACUGGGCAUGGGAUUUGCUGUCCAAAAAUAAGCUUUACCCAAAAUUAUUAAAAAUUCCUACUUUUCUCCCUUUUUAUAUUGGCAUGCUUCCAUUGUUGUUUAACUUGCUUAUUCACUAAAAAAUGC
rnacentral:misc_RNA from 1 species